rnacentral:rRNA from 1 species
GAUGAACGCUGACAGAAUGCUUAACACAUGCAAGUCUUUGGCAAAUCUGUGCUUGCACAGCCUAGCCAAGGCGGACGGGUGAGUAACGCGUAAAGAACUUGCCCUGCAGACAGGGAUAACAGACGGAAACGACUGAUAAUACCUGAUAUAAUUGCCAGCACGCAUGUGCCCAGCAAUGAAAAGUGAUGCUGCAGGAGAGCUUUGCGUCCUAUUAGCUUGUUGGUGAGGUAAUGGCUCACCAAGGCGAUGAUAGGUAGCCGGCCUGAGAGGGUGAACGGCCACAAGGGGACUGAGAUACGGCCCUUACUCCUACGGGAGGCAGCAGUGGGGAAUAUUGGACAAUGGGGGCAACCCUGAUCCAGCAAUUCUGUGUGCACGAAGAAGGUUUUCGGAUUGUAAAGUGCUUUCAGCAGGAAGAAGAAAGUGACGGACCUCAGAG